GUGGGGCACGUGGUUCUCUGCUGGAUGCUGAUUAUGGCUGCUGUGGGGCACGUGGUUCUCUGGCGGAUGCUGGUUAUUCCCGCUGCCGGGCACGUGGUUCUCUGAUGGAUGCUGGUUAUGGCCGCUGUGGGGCACGUGGUUCUCUGGUGGAUGCUGGUUAUCACCACUGUGGGGCAGGUGGUUCUCUGGCAGAUACUGGUUAUGGCCGCUGUGGGGCACAUGGUUCUCUGGUGGAUGCUGGUUAUCGCCACUGCGGGGCAGGUGGUUCUCUGGUGGAUGCUGGUUAUCCCCACUGUGGGGCAGGUGGUUCUCUGGUGGAUGCUGGUUAUCGCCACUGUGGGGCAGGUGGUUCUCUGGCAGAUACUGGUUAUGGCUGCUGUGGGGCACGUGGUUCUCUGGUGGAUGCUGGUUAUCGCCGCUGCGGGGCACGUGGUUCUCUGGUGGAUGCUGGUUAUGGCUGCUGUGGGGCAGGUGGUUCUCUGUUGGAUGCUAGUUACUGCUGCUGCGGGGCACAUGGUUCUUUUGUGGGUGCUGAUUGAAUUCCGGACCCAUGUGGCUCUCGGCUCUCUGGGGCCACAGCACACAGGAAGGUCCAUAAUCAGAGGUGUGACCGUGUUCCCUCUCCACUGCCCACCCCCAGCUGUGAGCCCGCCCCUGUCCAUCUGAAGACACCAAGCCAGAAUGCAGGAGUGCUGCUGCGAGAGUAACUU